GACGAACGCUGGCGGCGUGCUUAACACAUGCAAGUCGAGCGGUAAGGCCUUUCGGGGUACACGAGCGGCGAACGGGUGAGUAACACGUGGGUGAUCUGCCCUGCACUUCGGGAUAAGCCUGGGAAACUGGGUCUAAUACCGGAUAUGACCUCCUAUCGCAUGGUGGGUGGUGGAAAGAUUUAUCGGUGCAGGAUGGGCCCGCGGCCUAUCAGCUUGUUGGUGGGGUAAUGGCCUACCAAGGCGACGACGGGUAGCCGACCUGAGAGGGUGACCGGCCACACUGGGACUGAGACACGGCCCAGACUCCUACGGGAGGCAGCAGUGGGGAAUAUUGCACAAUGGGCGAAAGCCUGAUGCAGCGACGCCGCGUGAGGGAUGACGGCCUUCGGGUUGUAAACCUCUUUCAGCUGGGACGAAGCGCAAGUGACGGUACCUGCAGAAGAAGCACCGGCUAACUACGUG
rnacentral:rRNA from 1 species